CAAUUAUAAUGGAAGAGGUGCUAUGGAUUUAUUUUUGUGACAGCUUUUCACCAAGUGCUGUAGGUAGAAUUCCCAGGUGAGUUAGUGUCAUAUUUAAAAACUGCACACCUUAGAUUUAAACAAACAACUUUCAUACGAAUUAGAAACAAAUCUACACAAUUGGGUAGCAUUACCUUUUUAUAAACUGUACAAGUAAUGUUUGUCAAAAAUUCAAUUCAGCUGCUUUUGAAUUUCAGUCAGCUACCCAUAAUCUAAUAUGCUAUAAGCACACUUUGCAAUAAUGCGAUAAGAUAUUGAUUCAACUGUUUUGACAAUGGAUUGAUCAAUAUAACAUAUGAUUAAGUCAACAUAUAAUUUUAGUGAAAGUGUGGUACCUUAUUAUUUAAAUAAUCUAGCCAUGUAUUUAAAAGCCUAAAUCCAUCUAUGUUCAAUCAAUGUUUAAGGGAAUUAAUAUACCGAUUCUGUAUUUGCUGAAUCCUGAUUGCAGUGUAAGCAAAGACAUUUGCUAUGAUAUAUCCAAUAUAUACUGCCAGAACUUCAAGUGCUUUCCACCAGUUAAGAAUCUGCCCAUGGUUUUUUUUCACUAGGGUCUGUGGCUGGUACAAAACACAAUUAACCUCAUUUGAUGUGCCAGGACUUAGGAAAGCAAAAAUCCCACUGCAAACAAAACUGAAGGUUCUUCUGAGUCUGUAGUAACAUCCUAGGGACAGCGAUCUACAGAGCUGCCUUUGCAUCAAAUGAUAUAGUGAAUUACUUCCUAAUGAGUCAAAAUCCUUGCAAUUCCUCUGGGAACUGCUAUUGUCUGGAAUAUCCUUUUUGAUUUUUACCCAAUUAGGUAAAUCCAAAUUCCCCCUGUGACUGACUAACCCAUACAAGAUAUUGUUUAUUUGACUUGGCUUAUUGCCAUUUUAAAAAUAAACAGAGAAUCUCAAAUGUUAGUUGAAAAGGCAAAAAUCAACUUUCAUCUGGUUUCUUAUUAGAUAAUAGAAACAACCUGAUUACACUCAAUAGUUACAUGUCUAUCUCAGUACAUUACUAAACCAAGUAAAGAGAAAGAAAGGUACUACUAGGGUAUUUUAAUUUUGCUCUAAAAAAGUUCUUUAACAUAUAAUAAUAACAGAUAACAUCUGAUUUUUGAAGACCCCACAACCAGCUCUUUCCAUUUCAGGCACCUAAAUGAAGUAUUCAGCUUGAGAGCAAUCAUGGUUGCCACAACCUUUUGAAAAUCUGGCCCUUCAUCUAUAGAAAUGGGUUUCCUUGAUCGUAUGUCUCCAUUUUCUUCACUUGGACUUGUCUCAUUUAAUUUUAAGUACAGUUUGAGGAGGGCUACAGACAAUUGUCAUGUGUGCCAAUUCCACCCUCAACUUUACAUUCCCACUGAGUAAACUGUUGAUGCAAAGCUCAGUACCCCAGCCUCUAUCUGAUUUGCUCCUCCAAGGGCUACUUAACGUGAGUGAGGGCUGCAGACUGGGUUUUGAUUUACUUACAUGGAUCAGUGUACUGGUUUGAACUGCACUUUUGUUGCAAAGCUACCCCAGUGUAGUUCCUGUCUGCCUUUACAAAGACAGUCAGAGCUGUUUAAAAGAAAAUGUUCACUUGACACUAUGUCUUCCUCACUUCUCUGCUGAGCCUACUAAGAAACAAGGCCAUUCACUCACUCCCAAUCUGCCUGCACUCAAGGUUGGUAUGUAAUCAAAGGAGAAAGAAAGGCUCAGAAAUGCUCUCAAGUCCUUUGUUUUAAGAAAACCUGAGAGCCGUGUACACUGAUUUGUCUGUUCUGCCUAAUUGUUAGAUGUAGGCACAGGAGAAGUGGGAGUGAGUGGAUGGUGCUUGUCUUUUUGGUGGUUUUCCUGGGCUAGACAAGGAAGCUGUACAUGUAGACAUAACUUUAAGAGUCUUCAUGACAAACCAAC